GACGAACGCUGGCGGCGUGCUUAACACAUGCAAGUCGAGCGGUAAGGCCCUUUCGGGGGUACACGAGCGGCGAACGGGUGAGUAACACGUGGGUGACCUGCCCUUAGCUCUGGGAUAAGCCUGGGAAACUGGGUCUAAUACCGGAUAUGACUCCAUGACGCAUGUUGUGGGGUGGAAAGCCUUGUGCGGCUAGGGAUGGGCCCGCGGCCUAUCAGCUUGUUGGUGGGGUGAUGGCCUACCAAGGCGACGACGGGUAGCCGGCCUGAGAGGGCGACCGGCCACACUGGGACUGAGACACGG
rnacentral:rRNA from 1 species